AGAGUUUGAUCCUGGCUCAGAUUGAACGCUGGCGGCAUGCCUUACACAUGCAAGUCGAACGGCAGCACGGGAGCAAUCCUGGUGGCGAGUGGCGAACGGGUGAGUAAUAUAUCGGAACGUGCCCAGUCGUGGGGGAUAACGCAGCGAAAGCUGUGCUAAUACCGCAUACGAUCUCUGGAUGAAAGCGGGGGACUCAGCAAUGGGCCUCGCGCGAUUGGAGCGGCCGAUGUCAGAUUAGCUAGUUGGUGGGGUAAAAGCUCACCAAGGCGACGAUCUGUAGCUGGUCUGAGAGGACGACCAGCCACACUGGAACUGAGACACGGUCCAGACUCCUACGGGAGGCAGCAGUGGGGAAUUUUGGACAAUGGGCGCAAGCCUGAUCCAGCAAUGCCGCGUGCAGGAUGAAGGCCUUCGGGUUGUAAACUGCUUUUGUACGGAACGAAACGGUCCUUUCUAAUACAAGGGGCUAAUGACGGUACCGUAAGAAUAAGCACCGGCUAACUACGUGCCAGCAGCCGCGGUAA
rnacentral:rRNA from 1 species